UACGAAGGGGGCUAGCGUUGUUCGGAAUCACUGGGCGUAAAGGGCGCGUAGGCGGCUUUUCAAGUCGGGGGUGAAAGCCUGUGGCUCAACCACAGAAUUGCCUUCGAUACUGUUAGGCUUGAGACCGGAAGAGGUGAGUGGAACUGCGAGUGUAGAGGUGAAAUUCGUAGAUAUUCGCAAGAACACCAGUGGCGAAGGCGGCUCACUGGUCCGGUUCUGGACGCUGAGGCGCGAAAGCGUGGGGAGCAAACAGG
rnacentral:rRNA from 1 species